UUCUCUGAAUUCUCACAUUUCCUCUCAUAUCCAUAACCAUAAACCCUCUUCUUUCUUCUCUUUUUCAUUCUCUUUCAUGUCGCUGAUGCCACUAUCAUGUCUUUUUAUCGUCAUUAACGCAACAAAUAGUUUCAACGAUUCAUAGUCAGAUCUGUAAAGUUAAGAGAUAUAAACUUCUAUGGUUUUUUCGUUUUUAUUAAUUACGUUUUUUUAUUCAACAUCUCUAACAUUGAUUUUAUGAUUUUCGUUUGGUUCCAAAACAAUGAACCUGACUUAUCUAAGCAUAAGGUGAUAAGAAUAGUAGAUAAAGGAGUUGAUAUCAUAUGGAUAACAAUUCAAGGGAGAAAAGAAGAUGAUGCUUGUUUCGGUAUUAAAAACUCUCUUGUGUAGAAAAAGUAAGCAUAAAUUAUAUGAUGCUUUAGGUUUGUAAUGUUUAUGUAUACACCGACAUCGUUAUGUGUAUAUGUCCAGUUAUAACAUACCGUUGGUGGCUGAUAUGUGAUCAUUUCAAAGACUCUUGGGUAUUGUUGGUUUCGGCUACGCGAUGUAGUUGGCUUUUACGGCGAGAAAGUUCUUUGUUUUGUAGGCAAAAUAGUUGGGUCUGGUUUUGAAGAUUUUUUUCACUCGUAACAUGAACUCUAUGAAGGCAUUAAGGAACUUGCUCAGGGUUGGUUUCUUUA